AAAUUGAAGAGUUUGAUCAUGGCUCAGAUUGAACGCUGGCGGCAGGCCUAACACAUGCAAGUCGAACGGUAACAGGAAGCAGCUUGCUGCUUUGCUGACGAGUGGCGGACGGGUGAGUAAUGUCUGGGAAACUGCCUGAUGGAGGGGGAUAACUACUGGAAACGGUGGCUAAUACCGCAUAAUGUCGCAAGACCAAAGAGGGGGACCUUCGGGCCUCUUGCCAUCAGAUG
rnacentral:rRNA from 2 species